UAAGGAUUUAAGUUAAAAUAAACUAACAGCCUUCAAAGCUGUAAAUAAAAACCCAUUUUUAAGCCUU
rnacentral:tRNA from 1 species